rnacentral:rRNA from 1 species
AAAUGAAUUGACGGGGACCCACACAAGCGGUGGAGCAUCUGGCUUAAUUCGAUAGUAAGCGAGGAACCUUACCUAGGCUUGACAUCCCGAGAAUCUUUUGGAAACAAGAGAGUGCCUUACGGAACUCGGUGACAGGUGCUGCAUGGUUGUCGUCAGCUCGUGCCUUGAGGUGUUCGGUUAAGUCCGUAAACGAGCGCAACCCAUGUCGUGUGUUGUAUUUUUCACACGAGACUGCCGAUUCAAAAUCGGAGGAAGGUAUGGAUGACGUCAAAUCAGCAUGGCCCUUAUGCCUAGGGCUGCACAGGUGCUACAAUGGGCAGUACAGAGGGUAGCAAUGUCGCAAGACGGAGCCAAUCCCUAAAGCUGCUCUAAGUUCGGAUUGAGGGCUGCAAUUUGCCCUUAUGAAGUUGGAAUCGCUAGUAAACGCGCAUCAGCAAUGGCGCGUUGAAUAUGUUCCUGGGUCUUGUACACACCGCCCGU